rnacentral:rRNA from 1 species
GUGAGGAAUAUUGCGCAAUGGAGGCAACUCUGACGCAGCCAUGCCGCGUGCAGGAAGAAGGCGCUACGCGUUGUAAACUGCUUUUAACCGGGAAGAAACCCCAGGACGUGUCCUGGGUUGACGGUACCGGAGGAAUAAGCACCGGCUAACUUCGUGCCAGCAGCCGCGGUAAUACGAAGGGUGCAAGCGUUAUCCGGAUUCAUUGGGUGUAAAGGGUGCGUAGGCGGAGCGUUAAGUCAGUGGUGAAAUCCUGCAGCUUAACUGUAGACUUGCCAUUGAUACUGGCGAUCUUGAGUGCGCUUGAAGUGGGCGGAAUGUGCCGUGUAGCGGUGAAAUGCUUAGAUAUGGCACAGAACACCAAUUGCGAAGGCAGCUCACUAAGGCGAUACUGACGCUGAGGCACGAAAGCGUGGGGAUCGAACAGGAUUAGAUACCCCGGUAGUCC